rnacentral:rRNA from 1 species
AUUGAACGCUGGCGGCAUGCUUUACACAUGCAAGUCGAACGGUAACAGGUUAAGCUGACGAGUGGCGAACGGGUGAGUAAUGCAUCGGAACGUGCCCGGUCGUGGGGGAUAACACUUCGAAAGAAGUGCUAAUACCGCAUACGAUCUGAGGAUGAAAGCGGGGGACCGUAAGGCCUCGCGCGAUCGGAGCGGCCGAUGUCAGAUUAGGUAGUUGGUGGGGUAAAGUCUCACCAAGCCGACGAUCUGUAGCUGGUCUGAGAGGACGACCAGCCACAUUGGGAAUGAGACACGGCCCAGACUCCUACGGGAGGCAGCAUUGGGGAAUUUUGGACAAUGGGCGCAAGCCUGAUCCAGCAAUGCCGCGUGCAGGAAGAAGGCCUUCGGGUUGUAAACUGCUUUUGUACGGAGCGAAAAGGCUCUCUCUAAUACAGGGGGCUCAUGACGGUACCGUAAGAAUAAGCACCGGCUAACUACGUGCCAGCCGCCGCGGUAA